GACGAACGCUGGCGGCGUGCCUAAUACAUGCAAGUCGAGCGGACAUAAGGGAGCUUGCUCCCGGAAGUUAGCGGCGGACGGGUGAGUAACACGUCAGCAACCUACCCUGUAGAUCGGGAUAACAUCGAGAAAUCGGUGCUAAUACCAGAUAAUCAUUUGAAGUGCAUGCUUCGAAUGUAAAAGAUGGCUUCGGCUAUCACUACGGGAUGGGCCCGCGGCGCAUUAGCUGGUUGGUAAGGUAAUGGAUGACCAAGGCAACGAUGCGUAGCCGACCUGAGAGGGUGAUCGGCCACACUGGGACUGAGACACGGCCCAGACUCCUACGGGAGGCAGCAGUAGGGAAUCUUCCACAAUGGGCGAAAGCCUGAUGGAGCAAUGCCACGUGAGUGAUGAAGGUCUUCGGAUCGUAAAGCUCUGUUGCCAGGGAAGAACGUCCGGGUGAGUAACUGCGCCCGGAGUGACGGUACCUGAGAAGAAAGCCCCGGCUAACUACGUGCCAGCCGCCGCGGUAAAAC
rnacentral:rRNA from 1 species